rnacentral:rRNA from 1 species
UACGUAGGUGGCGAGCGUUGUCCGGAUUUACUGGGCGUAAAGAGCUCGUAGGCGGCUUGUCGCGUCGGAUGUGAAAGCCCGGGGCUUAACCCUGGGAUGCCGGUGGAUACUGUCGGGCUCGAGUCCGGAAGAGGCGAGUGGAAUUCCUGGUGUAGCGGCGAAAUGCGCAGAUAUCAGGAAGAACACCCGUGGCGAAGGCGGUUCUCUGGGACGGUACUGACGCUGAGGCGCGAAAGCGUGGGGAGCGAACAGG